UACGUAGGGGGCUAGCGUUGUCCGGAAUCAUUGGGCGUAAAGCGCGUGUAGGCGGCUUGGCAAGUCCGCUGUGAAAACUCGAGGCUCAACCUCGAGAUGUCGGUGGAAACUGCUUGGCUAGAGUCCGGAAGAGGAGUGUGGAAUUCCUGGUGUAGCGGUGAAAUGCGCAGAUAUCAGGAAGAACACCUAUGGCGAAGGCAGCACUCUGGGACGGUACUGACGCUGAGACGCGAAAGCGUGGGGAGCGAACAGG
rnacentral:rRNA from 1 species